rnacentral:rRNA from 1 species
AAUAUUGCACAAUGGGCGCAAGCCUGAUGCAGCCAUGCCGCGUGUAUGAAGAAGGCCUUCGGGUUGUAAAGUACUUUCAGCAGUGAGGAAGGUGGAGUCGUUAAUAGCGGCCUCAUUUGACGUUUAGCUGCAGAAGAAGCACCGGCUAACUCCGUGCCAGCAGCCGCGGUAAUACGGAGGGUGCGAGCGUUAAUCGGAAUUACUGGGCGUAAAGCGCAUGCAGGUGGUUUGUUAAGUCAGAUGUGAAAGCCCGGGGCUCAACCUCGGAAUUGCAUUUGAAACUGGCAGACUAGAGUACUGUAGAGGGGGUAGAAUUUCAGGUGUAGCGGUGAAAUGCGUAGAGAUCUGAAGGAAUACCGGUGGCGAAGGCGGCCCCCUGGACAGAUACUGACACUCAGAUGCGAAAGCGUGGGGAGCAAACAGGAUUAGAUACCCUGGUAG